rnacentral:rRNA from 1 species
GGCUUGUUGAUAAUAAUUUCAGGUCAGGCCUGCCCACUGAUUUAAUUAAAYGGCCGCGGUAUCUUGACCGUGCAAAGGUAGCAUAAUCAUUAGUUUUUUAAUUAAAAGCUUGUAUGAAGGGUUCGAUGAGGGAAAGACUGUUUCAAUUAAAUUUUAUUAAAAUUUUAUUUUUAAGUAAAAAAGCUUAAAUUUAUAUAGAAGACGAGAAGACCCUAUAGAGUUUUAUAAACUGAGUAGCGUUUAAGUAUUUGGGAUUUAUAUAUUUAAAUGUUGUUUUUGCUUAUUUUGUUGGGGUGAUAGGAAAAUUAGAUUAACUUUCUUGUUAGAUUGAAUACUUAUUUGUAUAUUUGUGAUCCUAGCUUGUAGACUAUAAGAUUAAAUUACCUUAGGGAUAACAGCGUAAUUUUUUUUAGAGUUCUUAUCGAAAAAAUAGAUUGCGACCUCGAUGUUGGAUUAAAAUUAAUUGUUGGUGUAGAAGCUAAUAAAUUAGGUCUGUUCGACCUUUAGAAUUUUACAUGAUCUGAGUUUAGACCGGUGUGAG